CCAUGGCAUGUGGUGGCUUCAUGACCAAUAAAAGAGCAACCCAGUGCACAAGGCUCCCAUUACUGUAGGGUCUGGCAGCGGCAAAUGUACACAGCCUAAACCCCUGCUUUGCAAGGGAGGCUGUUUCCAGGUUUUGAACCUGUGACCAACAUGUUGCAAUUGUGCAACUUAACUGUUGUGCCACAGGAUUGCCAAAAUUAUAUAUAGGAAGAAAUUAGGUCAAAAAUUGGUACCCAAAUAUGCAAGAAUUCUAGGUGGUUGUUCAUGAAUGGAACAUCCUACCAGUCAAUUUUGGAUGAUACUUAGGUGUCUGAUGAUACUAGGAAAACAUUCAAUACACUGCAAACUAUAUGAUUGGGUUUGGCUUUGAAAUUGGAUUAAUGCCUAAAUCACAUGGUCCACUUUCUAUCCAACUGUUAGUAUUCCAUAUCAACCUUCCAUUAGAGAAUUGCAGACCAUUUGGAUUUGGUUGAAAUGGGCAUGAAAUAUGAGAAGAAACUGUUAUUUGACUAUUGGAAGGUGCAAACAAUCCAAUGAAUUUUUCGAUGAUAGUAAAACUCAUUUCAAUAGAACCUCAACUGGACUUUAACUGAAUCCCAAACCAAGUGACCGUUGUCUUCUCAACCUGGCUCCCUAGAUAAAAUUUCUCACUCUGCUCCUCUGCUCCUAGAAUACCAGUUUUUUUUUUGUUGCAAUAUUCAAGGUGCAUGAAGAACAUACAGCCCCAAAGGGGAGGGGGAAAGAUUUUUUUUAUUUGGGAGGGGGGUGUGAGAAAAGAAAAUACAGGCAAAAGCUGAAAAAGGGGGAAGAAACAAGCCUAAAUCAAAUUAAAGAUCUAGGCAUCAGACAUUCCAAGCAGAUGCAACAUUAUAGAGAUGCACGGCCUGAUAAAUACUUUGCAGCGCACAUGUAUGUUUUAUUCCUCUAUGCUAUUUAUGUUUUAUGUUCUACAUCAUGUUGUCUUUCUUUAUUCACCUUGUCUCUAGUGAGCAUGAAUUACAUCUUUCUGUGGGAGCAGUUUGCUAUCUAAUUCAUACAUGAAGUCAGAAAUUACUCUUCCAUGCAUAGUUUACUUCAGAAACAGUGAGUAGUUUGUGUUUAAUGUUUUGGACUCAGUCGAUAAGUUUGCAAAUGUAAGAACUUCACUUCCUGAAGUCAAUAGCUUCAUAACCUUGUGAGUUGAGUACCUUUUUGUUUUAUUUUUCUAAGACAUGCACUUGCUUACCGGUGGCAAACCGGCAGAUUUAUGCAGGUCAAGCUACAGUAACUCAGGGAAUAUGUGCAGCCCAAAUUGAUCUGUUAUUAAUCAGGCUGGGAUUGAUUAAGCUUAUCCAAUUUAUGAUAUGUCAGGUUUGGGAAACCUGUUCAAAUAUAAAAAUGGGAGAGGGAUGGGCAUUCUAGUGGAUUGCUUUGAAUAAUGAAAUAGAAUGGAUUUUUUGUUGCUGCAUGGGUAUUGAUAGCACAUUCUAUUUUUAGGUCAGUUUCUAACAUUUUAAGACCUGGUGUUGUGCAGUUUGCCUUUCAUGUUAAGGUGUUGAAGGUUCCUCCAAAGAUUGAAGGCAAGAUGGCAGAGUCAGUAUGAGCUCAACUAACAUGGUUGAGUUACCGAAAUGGUACAGCAUGUAUUUAUUCAAGGAAGGGAAAAAGUUGCUGGAAAGGAAAUUCUUACUGGAUCAGUUUCUAACCCCGGAGCGACCAGUCUGAGAAUGGUUUGGAGAUGACAUUGAAGAAGUUGGCUCUAAAUGUUUGGAAGGCAUCAGGUUUGCUGCAACAACCAUGGAAUUUAAAGAUGUGAAAAGCUUUGAGGAUUUCACCAUUAUAGUGAAUGGUUGGAAUAUGGAUUCUGAACUUCCUGAACAUGUUUGAGCCUAGAAUUAUGAGCUCUGGUGUAGUCAGAAGGCUUUCCUUCACGACCAUCUUCUCCCAGUCGUCGAUUGUAAGUUGAUUACUGGAAUAAUUUCUGGGACCGUGAAGGUGGCAGACUGCAUAUGUCUUGCAACCUUACUACAUCUGAGCAAAACUUAGCAAUUUGGAACAAGUGUUUCGAUGCCUUUAAGAGCCUGGGCAUAAAUGUUGGGUUCUUACAUGCUCGACUGCACCAACUUGUGCGCCUUGCCUUUUUUUUUUUUUUCAGAAGGGCAAUGGAUGCAAAGAUGUGCAAUGAAGCUGUGUUAGAACAAGACUUGUUUGGUAGAGGAGAUACGAAAUCUGGAAGUGAAGCUUAUGGAAUUAAAAGAGGUCCAUGCAAGUGAAGACAAAAAUUGAGACUGAAAUUGGAGGCCAAGAGUCAAGAGGUGAAGUUUCAAGCAGAGGUCAAUGCUCCAUGAUGACCUUUGUGUUCUGUCAUGUUGCAGUUUCCUCCUUUUUUUGUGUAGGCUAAAUUUUGGAGUUGGGACUAACAUACUUCUGUGAAGAAGAGGAGAGUUUCCUUUUGUGGAACAUGAUUUUAGAUGUAUAUUUUUGUGAAAUAUAGAUAGAUCAGCAUUGUAACUA